rnacentral:rRNA from 1 species
GACGAACGCUGGCGGCGUGCUUAACACAUGCAAGUCGAACGGAAAGGCCCUGCUUUUGUGGGGUGCUCGAGUGGCGAACGGGUGAGUAACACGUGAGUAACCUGCCCUUGACUUUGGGAUAACUUCAGGAAACUGGGGCUAAUACCGGAUAGGAGCUCCUGCUGCAUGGUGGGGGUUGGAAAGUUUCGGCGGUUGGGGAUGGACUCGCGGCUUAUCAGCUUGUUGGUGGGGUAGUGGCUUACCAAGGCUUUGACGGGUAGCCGGCCUGAGAGGGUGACCGGCCACAAUGGGACUGAGAUACGGACCAGACUCCUACGGGAGGCAGCAGUGGGGAAUAUGGCACAAUGGGCGGAAGCCUGAUGCAGCAACGCCGCGUGCGGGAUGACGGCCUUCGGGUUGUAAACCGCUUUCGCCUGUGACGAAGCGUGAGUGACGGUAAUGGGUAAAGAAGCACCGGCUAACUACGUG